rnacentral:rRNA from 1 species
GUCUUGUAAUUGGAAUGAUGGGAAUUUAAACCUCUUCCAGAGUAUCAAUUGGAGGGCAGUCUGGUGCCAGCAGCCGCGGUAAUUCCAGCUCCAAUAGCGUAUAUUAAAAUUGUUGCAGUUAAAAAGCUCGUAGUUGAAUUUCUGCUGCAUUGCUUUUGCUCCUUUACGAGUCUUUGCAUUGUGGCUUAUUUCGGACUUUGUUUUACAAUGUCCGGAUGUUUACUUUGAGAAAAUUAGAGUGCUCAAAGCAGGCUUUCGCCUUGAAUAGUUUAGCAUGGAAUAAUAAAGUAGGACUUUGGUUCUAUUUUGUUGGUUUUAGGUACCAAAGUAAUGGUUAAUAGGAACAGUUGGGGGCAUUCGUAUUUAACUGUCAGAGGUGAAAUUCUUAGAUUUGUUAAAGACGAACUACUGCGAAAGCAUUUGCCAAGGAUGUUUUCAUUAAUCAAGAACGAAAGUUAGGGGAUCGAAGACGAUCAGAUACCGUCGUAGUCCUAACCAUAAACUA